UACGUAGGGGGGCAAGCGUUGUCCGGAAUCAUUGGGCGUAAAGCGCGUGUAGGCGGCUCGAUAAGUCUGCUGUGAAAGUUCAGGGCUCAACCCUGAAAUGCCGGUGGAAACUGUCGGGCUAGAGUCCGGAAGAGGCGAGCGGAAUUCCUGGUGUAGCGGUGAAAUGCGCAGAUAUCAGGAGGAACACCAAUGGCGAAGGCAGCUCGCUGGGACGGUACUGACGCUGAGACGCGAAAGCGUGGGGAGCAAACAGG
rnacentral:rRNA from 1 species